rnacentral:rRNA from 1 species
GAUAUAGCAAUAUAUUAGUGGCAAACGGGUGAGUAAUGUAAAGGAAUCUACCUAGCAGUAAGGGAUAACUUUGGGAAACCAAAGCUAAUACCAUAUAUUACCCUUCGGGGGAAAGAUUUAUCGCUGUUAGAUGAGCCUUUAUCGGAUUAGCUAGUUGGUAAGGUAAUGGCUUACCAAGGCAAUGAUCCGUAGCUGGUCUGAGAGGAUGAUCAGCCACACUGGAACUGAGACACGGUCCAGACUCC